UACGGAAGGCAGCAGUGGGGAAUAUUGCACAAUGGGCGCAAGCCUGAUGCAGCCAUGCCGCGUGUAUGAAGAAGGCCUUCGGGUUGUAAAGUACUUUCAGCGGGGAGGAAGGCGGUGGAGUUAAUAGCUUCACCGAUUGACGUUACCCGCAGAAGAAGCACCGGCUAACUCCGUGCCAGCAGCCGCGGUAAUACGGAGGGUGCAAGCGUUAAUCGGAAUUACUGGGCGUAAAGCGCACGCAGGCGGUCUGUCAAGUCGGAUGUGAAAUCCCCGGGCUUAACCUGGGAACUGCAUUCGAAACUGGCAGGCUAGAGUCUUGUAGAGGGGGUAGAAUUCCAGGUGUAGCGGUGAAAUGCGUAGAGAUCUGGAGGAAUACCGGUGGCGAAGGCGGCCCCUGGGACAAAGCUGACGCUCAGGGUGCGAAAGCGUGGGGAGCAAACAGGGAUUAGGAUACC
rnacentral:rRNA from 1 species